rnacentral:rRNA from 1 species
UACGAAGGGGGCUAGCGUUGCUCGGAAUCACUGGGCGUAAAGCGCACGUAGGCGGCUUUCUAAGUCAGGGGUGAAAUCCUGGAGCUCAACUCCAGAACUGCCUUUGAUACUGAAGAUCUUGAGUUCGGGAGAGGUGAGUGGAACUGCGAGUGUAGAGGUGAAAUUCGUAGAUAUUCGCAAGAACACCAGUGGCGAAGGCGGCUCACUGGCCCGAUAACUGACGCUGAGGCACGAAAGCGUGGGGGAG